AAAUAUUAAAGUCUAGUUUUGGUCCCCAAGAAAGAGGACAAACUGUUUUGGACACUGGACUGUCUUUAUGUGCUGAUCAGGUGUUUGACUUUGUACAAGAGAUGGGUGACUGAAAGCUGACCUGCUAAGGAGUUGGUUUCACCCUACACAACUCUUCCUUAGUCUCGAUCUGUGAUGCGAAGACUUGGUCCCCAAAAAAGAGGAUAAACUGUUUCGGCCACUGGACUGUCUUUAUGCGCUGAUCAGGUGUUUGACUUUGUGCAAGAGAUGGGUGACUGAAAGCUGACCAGCUAAGGAGCUGGUUUCACCUUUCAUAACUCUUCAUUAGUCUUGAUCUGUGAUGCAAAGACUUGGUCCCCAAAAAAGAGGAUAAACUGUUUUGGCCACUGGACUGUCACUAUGCGCUGAUCAGGUGUUUGACUUUGUACAAGAGAUGGGUGACUGAAAGCUGACCCACUAAGGAGUUGGUUUCACCCUGCAUAGCUCUUCCUUAGUCUCGAUCUGUGAUGCAAAGACUUGGUCCCCAUAAAAGAGGAUAAACUGUUUUGGACACUGGACUGUCUUUAUGUGCUGAUCAGGUGUUUGACUUUGUACAAGAGAUGGGUGACUGAAAGCUGACUUGCUAAGGAGUUGGUUUCACCCUGCACAACUCUUCCUUAGUCUUGAUCUGUGAUGCAAAGACUUGGUCCCCAUAAAAGAGGAUAAACUGUUUUGAACACUGGACUGUCUUUAUGUGCUGAUCAGGUGUUUGACUUUGUACAAGAGAUGGGUGACUGAAAGCUGACUUGCUAAGGAGUUGGUUUCACCCUGCACAACUCUUCCUUAGUCUUGAUCUGUGAUGCAAAGACUUGGUCCCCCAAAAAGAGGAUAAACUGUUUCAGCCACUGGAAUGUCUUUAUGUGCUGAUUGGGCAUUUGACUUUGUACAAGAGAUUUCUUGAAGAAUGACUAUCUCAAGAACCAAGAUCAAAUAUGAACGUUCAACCACCCAAAGCUAAAUACCAAGAAACACGAUCACCUUAAGCACGAGACCAGAGACAAAUAUCAAUCUUGGAAAGCAAAAUUGGAUCGACCCCAAAUUCAGGGAAUAAAAUGAAAAAAUUGGGGUUCGAUCCGUUCACCAUCCCCCACCCCACCUACCUUGGAAAUCAAAAACGGUUCCCCGUCCAUCGUUCCCCAGAAGACAGUUUCCUAACUCUUGAUAAAAGUCAUCUAGCUUGUGGUACAAACAUUUUUUUAUUAAUAUUAUAGUAUAACCUCCUAAUGUAAGUAACAAUCCUUUUUUACAUCAAUUCAGUUGCAUUUUUUUAGGUACAAGAAUUUAAUUACCACUUCUUCAAUACAGUUGUGUUUUCCCCAACCAACCUCCCCCACCACGCCCACCUCCUGUGGCAGUUUUGGUAAGUUUUUAAAAAAAGUUCUCUACCAAGUGGUAGUAACAUUUAAAGGUCUUAUUACGCAUGUAUGUUACAUGAUGUUGUCGCCAGAAAGUACGCAGCUCUUACAAAUACUAAAAAAAAACUGCCUUUAAUAGGUGGGUGUAGUGGGGGACGGUGGCGGAUCGACCCCCGAGUUUUACCAAUAUCUCCUUUCCAAUGUUCAUAUUUGUCCAAGCUAUCAGGGUAAACGUAAAUAUUGGGAGAGACAAAUGAUUCAAAUAUUUCCUUCCUUUCUGCGUUGUUACUUUCUCCUGUCUUGGUAUAGACUAAGCGUCUCCUCGGUGUAAUUAAACUAUAUUAGCUUUUCUUCAUCUGACAAAAAGCUAAUAUUUUCCUGCCUUUCAUUAUUGAUUUCUUAGGCCCAAUCUUUCCGGCUUCUUUGCUCCUCUAGCAAUCUGGAGAAAGGUUAAGGAUACAAAUAUAAUCUGUACUUCUGUUUGAACGGGCUGCAAAUAAACAGAGUAUCAUUCAACACGAAA